UCAAACACAGUCGCCAGAUAUGAUGCCAGAAAUAACUUCUGACUCUGUUAUUUCUGUUGACCUACCACAUUUCUUCACUUUGGCCUCUUGUUUCUGACCCUCACUCACUUUUGGUUUUGAAAUCAGUUUCAGAAACGCGUUCCUCCCGCAGCUCUGUCCAUGAGUGCAGCACCCCCGGCAGCGCCACCGGAUUUCCCUGGGGAGCCGCUGGGCCCGGCUGGCACGGGCGCUGUGGGCACAGACUGAGUCACCGCCCCAGGCAGCUUUCGGUCAAUUACAUCCCCGUCAUUUGAGCUAAUUCAGUCAAAUGAUACCGUGUCACAGGACUUACUGUACGGCCAGGGGAUUUCUCCUGCCGCCUGAGCCGCUCGGCCUCAGCCCUGAGCAGUGACGGCGCCGUGGGCCGCUGCCAGGGCCCGGCUGUGACAGCAGUGAGCCCCGGCCCGCGGGGCACGGCCCCCUCAGGGACAGCCACAGCCACGGCGAGCCGGGGAGUGCUAACAGAGCUCUGGGAUCCCACUGAGACACUGCAGCGUGCCCCGAGAAGGGCAGCGGAGCUGGGAAAGAAGGGUGUGGGGCAGACCAGCUCUAAUGAGGAGCUGGGGGUCUCGGCCUGGAGGAAAGGAGCCUCACUGAUUUAUGUAUCUGCCGGGAAGGAGAUUAUGGACAGGUAUCAGGAACUGAUGUAUUCCGUUUAUGGUGGAACUGACAGUAAAAUGCAUCAGUGCAGGAACCUGAGCUAUGUCUUGAGUCAGCAUCAUAACCACCAGGCACCUGAGAGGAGAGACAGUGGUGUCUCUGUCCUAGAAUUCCCACCCAGGUGUUGAAAUGGUGAUUGGAAGCUAGACUGCAUCCUGAAGAAGGGCUCUAACCACCUACCAACAGUCUCCCAAAGCACCAGGGUUUGAAAGGACUUGAGAAAAUUAUCUGGUUCUGCCUUCUCCCUUUACACAGCCAAGCAAUGUGAAGCUGUUACUCAUAGAUGUUAUUCUAGUCUGUUAUUAAAAGCAUUCACUUUUGGAGAGUCCACAUCUUUGGGGAUUUCUGUUUAAAGCUUUAAAAAUGUUUAAACUAGAAUUAGUAUUGUUCUUUAUAAUUUGGUGGUCUUUUAAGUUUUUUUGGAAGCAAGAGCCAAUAUUCCCACCUGCUAGAUGGGAAAUUUAAUUACAGAUAACUCUGGGCUGAUUAUGAUGAUGCAGAAAACUCCAUCUUCCCAUAAACCAGCUAUUCUACACAAUGGAUGUACACUUUAAUUCUAUCUUGAUGAACACAGCAACAGUCUAAAAACGUUGGCAUUUUCUCUUUAAUUAACCUCUAAUGUAGCAAUUUAUCUCAAAAACAAUAGUGCAUUGUUUCCUGUGCAUACCCUACACGAGGUUCUCUCCACACAUGGCACCUGUUUUUCAAAGUUAGUCAAAUGGUUUCUUGCUUGCUUACUGUGAUUCAUUAUAAAAUCUUGAAACAGGUUUAUCACAGAACAAGAAAGAAUUAGCAAAAAACUAGAAGGGAUUCCGAGUUUAAACAAAAAAUAAAGGAUCAGAAAGGGCUGCAGAUGUUCAUCUCAUGAUUUGAAUUGCAUUCGAUUUCAAGAGGAGAAAAAAGCAGGACAGAUUGUAAAUUGAAGUAAAUUUCAGUGUCAGCAGUUUUAUUGAUUUUAUCGCAAAUCUUACAAUAUUAAGUAUUUGCUUUGAGCUCAAACCCUCUGAACACACACAAUUCUUGGGUUUUGUUAUCAAAAAAAAAAACAACAAACAAACCAAAAGCCAAAACAAACCAAAAAAAGCCACAGCAAACCACAACAAACUUGAGUGUCUAGUGAAAAAUUGUGCUGUAAGUUGAGAAAUUAUGCACUUGAACUUUCCAGGAUCAUGAAAAUAAUCAGAAUAUGUUUGGCAUGAAAAAAAAAUAAGAUAAUGUCUACCUCAUAUUUGUUCAGAGGGACUAUGUAAAGCAGUGUAGACACCAGCUGUAGAUUUGCCCCAGGCCUGUAAUAAGGAGGAAUUUACAAGACUUUCAAAAGCCAAUGAGUAAAUUAACUUAAAGAGUGAAAUGUUUUUGCACUGUACCAAUUAGUAUUAGCAAUAUGAGCAAAUAGAUGUUAGCAUUCUAGACUGACUUCUGUUUAAAUGGCUUUCUGGAAUAAAUAGGCUGGAACCUGUUCUAGCAAAUUCUUACUGUUUAGAUAAAGCAAAAAACUUUAAAAAAAUAUUUUUAAUUUUCUUGACAUGAAAUUAGGCUUGAAAUUGAUGGGAAGAUUUUUACAUUCUUUCAUUGAUAUUUCUCUCUUUUUCUCUUCAUGUCUCCCCUAAGGAGAGUUAACACACUUGGCAUAGGAGCUUCCUGAUCAGCAAAUUCACUGCCCCUCACCAUACUCUCACAUCAAAAAAUCACUUCUGUAAAUAUGUCAGAUUUCUCUGUAACUGUUUUUUUUUUUCUUUCUUUUCUCUACACACUUCUCCUAAUGGGUGGUUGUUCCUGGGCUUUCAUGAAGUGACUGUUUGAAAAUUUAAUUUUCAAACUAUGUUAUUUCCUAGUCAUUUUCUUUUGUGUGGUAGCUGUCCUCUAUUUUCAUUUUGUAUUACUACUUAUCCUGACAAUAUACAUUUCUAUCUGUACUGCAGAGCUAAGGCUGAUUUGUAUUCUUAUAUCUGACUUUGUAAAAAAGUAGGAGGUAAUUUUGAUUAUUAUGGUUUUUACUCAGUAAAGGGCAAGUUUCCGUGACUUCCGCACAGUCCCUGAUUGCUAGGAACUUGUUACCUGAUUGCCUCAAUUAUUCUAUUUUAAACCUCUUUCUCUAACCUGCAAGAACACAGAAGAAUGAGGUAGUUUGUGUAAUCACAUAUUACUACCUGUUUGAGUUGUGUGUUUUUUGGGCUGUGAUGUUAUGCAGAAUUAUUAAAGACCUCCAAGGUGAACAUCUUUGGCUGAGCUCAGGAAAUUACAGCUAUCUUUAGUUGCUCAAGCUCACAGCAGAACUUAGAAACGUAAGUCUUCUAUCCAGAUGAAUUUGUACUUUUUCACAACAAAAUACAACCAGGAUUUUCAGCUUCCUCAUCUGGAGUGUAAUCUUUUCUUUCUCUUUUAUGUAAAUAAUUUGCAAUGGAAGGAAAAGAAAAAGCAAAACAACUUUUUGAGCCAGAUCUUGCAAUUAAUUUCUAGAAAAACCCAAACACUUAUAUUUUAUAACUCCAGCUAUGAUAUCUAUUUGUUUAUCAUGAGUUGUGCUUUAUAUACAGACCUGCUAUUUUAUCUUCCAUCUACUUGUGUCUGUUCUCCUCCUGCGGAACACCUUUAGUAAGUUUUUUAUUAGGUUAAUUAUUCAAAAAUAUCUUCAAGUUUUAAGUGCUGAAUUGCCUUCUUGAUAAUUCUGCUAUGAUUUCCUGAUACAUUUUAUUUCCAUUCAAAACAGAGUCAAACAAACAUUUUCAGUGUUGCCAUAGACAACAGAGACCACAGCAAGGAGUCUUUGUCACCAAACAGAAAAUGAAAGAAUAUUUUUAAAAAUAUCUGUUUCAUAAUAAAUUGGAAAAAUAGCAAUUAUUUUUACUGUUGCUAGGACUUUAGGAGUAUGAGAAAUACAAAUAUUUAAUAUUUUGACUCCUGUAUCAAUUAUCUAGAUAUACACUGGAAAACUGUUCUUCUAAUCUGGCCCCAUUUAACUGUUAAGGACAAACGAAUGCGGGCAAGAAUAAUUUUGUUCUGACUUCUGUACGUAUGAUUAUUUAUGACAAUUGCAAGUGAGCAGGCUGUGGCUGCUCAGAAAGUUGCUAUUUAGAAGCUAACACAUGCCAGCUGGUUGUGUGAAGUGCUCCAAACCUUUUGCAAUCAAUGACUAAAAUAGUGCUUCAAGCAAAGAGCUGUGUUGGGGCAGCAGCACAAACUCACUCUCAGUCCCCAGGCUCAGCUCCUUAAGCUGCUGUCGUUUGGUCACUUCCAUUGUGAGUGAAUAGAUGAAAACAGACAUGGUCCAUGAAAAAUGAGUUAUCUUUAAAAUCACAGAUGUGACAAUGCACUAUAAAAUUGUGUGUACUGGGAUUUAGUAUCAGAAAUUAUCAGAAAUAUUCCCUCUCUCCCUUUUCCCAUCCACAAACCAAAACAAU